ACUAAGCAAUCUGUUUACAGAUUGGUAGAGGAGCAUUGCAUGCGGGACGAAGCAGUACCGUAAGGAGCUGUGGACUGCAUGGAAGAGAGAAUGCCGGAAUGAGUAGCGAGAUAGAGGUGAGAAUCCUCUAGGCCGAAUAUCCAAGGUUUCCAGGGUAAAGCUGAUCUGCCCUGGGUAAGUCGGGGCCUAAGGUGAGGACGAGAGUCGUAGCCGAUGGACAACAGGUGGAGAUUCCUGUACUAUGAUAUGACAGAACUGUGGGGACACGUGCAGAGAGCGGAAGCCGGGAAUGGGAUCCCGGUGCAAGCGAGGUACCAGCCGCAUUGGAAAAACCGUGCGGCAAUGGGAAGACGUGAUGCGGAGUGAAGUUUAGUAAUGAAGUCCGUGAGCUGUGCGUCAAGAAAAGCCGCUAUUGUUCAUACCAUACCCGUACCGUAAACCGACACAGGUGGAUGAGGAGAGAAUCCUAAGGCCGGCGGAAGAAGCAUUGUCAAGGAACUCGGCAAAAUGACCCCGUAACUUCGGGAGAAGGGGUGCCUGCGAGAGCAGGCCGCAGAGAAUAGGCUCAAGCAACUGUUUAGCAAAAACACAGGUCUAUGCGAAACCGAAAGGUGAGGUAUAUGGGCUGACGCCUGCCCGGUGCUGGAAGGUUAAGAGGAGAGGUUAGCGCAAGCGAAGCUUUGAAUUUAAGCCCCAGUAAACGGCGGCCGUAACAAUAACGGUCCUAAGGUAGCGAAAUUCCUUGUCGGGUAAGUUCCGACCCGCACGAAAGGCGUAAUGAUUUGAGCGCUGUCUCGACAAUGCAUCCGGUGAAAUUGAAGUACCAGUGAAGAUGCUGGUUACCUGCGCCAGGACGGAAAGACCCCAUGGAGCUUUACUCCAGUUUGGUACUGGGAUCCGGUACUGCAUGUACAGGAUAGGUGGGAGGCUAUGAAUCGGUAACGCCAGUUGCCGAGGAGCCGCUGUUGGGAUACCACCCUUGCAGUAUUGGGUUUCUAACCAGCCGCCGUGACCCGGCGGUGGGACAAUGCCGGACGGGGAGUUUGACUGGGGCGGUCGCCUCCGAAAGGGUAUCGGAGGCGCCCAAAGGUUCCCUCAGGAUGGACGGAAACCAUCCAAAGAGUGCAAAGGCAGAAGGGAGCUUGACUGCGACACCGACGGGUGGAGCAGGUACGAAAGUAGGGCUUAGUGAUCCGGUGGUAUUAAGUGGGAAUGCCAUCGCUCAACGGAUAAAAGCUACCCUGGGAUAACAGGCUUAUCACUCCCAAGAGUUCACAUCGACGGAGUGGUUUGGCACCUCGAUGUCGGCUCAUCGCAUCCUGGGGCUGUAGUAGGUCCCAAGGGUUGGGCUGUUCGCCCAUUAAAGCGGUACGCGAGCUGGGUUCAGAACGUCGUGAGACAGUUCGGUCCCUAUCCGGCGUGGGCGUAGGAUAUCUGAGAGGAGCUGUCCUUAGUACGAGAGGACCGGGAUGGACGGGCCGCUGGUGCACCGGUUAGACUGCCAAGUCUAUAGCCGGGUAGCCAAGCCCGGAAGGGAUAAACGCUGAAGGCAUCUAAGCGUGAAGCCCCCCUCAAGAUGAGAUAUCCCAUCCGAAAGGAGUAAACCCCCUUGAAGACGACGAGGUCGAUAUGGCAGAGGUGGAAGUGUGGUAACACAUGGAGCUGACUGCUACUAAUAGGGUGAGGGCUUGACC
rnacentral:rRNA from 1 species